GAUGAACGCUGGCGGCGUGCCUAAUACAUGCAAGUCGAGCGAACAGACGAGGGUGCUUGCACUCUCUGACGUUAGCGGCGGACGGGUGAGUAACACGUGGGUAACCUACCUAUAAGACUGGGAUAACUUCGGGAAACCGGAGCUAAUACCGGAUAAUAUUUAGCUUCGCAUGAAGCAAUAGUGAAAGACGGUUCUGCUGUCACUUAUAGAUGGACCCGCGGUGUAUUAGCUAGUUGGUGAGGUAACGGCUCACCAAGGCAACGAUACAUAGCCGACCUGAGAGGGUGAUCGGCCACACUGGGACUGAGACACGGACCAGACUCCUACGGGAGGCAGCAGUAGGGAAUCUUCCGCAAUGGACGAAAGUCUGACGGAGCAAUGCCGCGUGAGUGAAGAAGGUUUUCGGAUCGUAAAACUCUGUUGUAAGGGAAGAACAAGUACGUUAGUAACUGAACGUACCUUGACGGUACCUUACCAGAAAGCCACGGCUAACUACGUG
rnacentral:rRNA from 1 species